rnacentral:rRNA from 1 species
AACGAACGCUGGCGGCAUGCCUAACACAUGCAAGUCGAACGAAGCCUUCGGGCUUAGUGGCGCACGGGUGCGUAACGCGUGGGAAUCUGCCUCUUGCUUCGGAAUAACAGUUAGAAAUGACUGCUAAUACCGGAUGAUGUCUUCGGACCAAAGAUUUAUCGGCAAGGGAUGAGCCCGCGUAGGAUUAGGUAGUUGGUGGGGUAAAGGCCUACCAAGCCGACGAUCCUUAGCUGGUCUGAGAGGAUGAUCAGCCACACUGGGACUGAGACACGGCCCAGACUCCUACGGGAGGCAGCAGUGGGGAAUAUCGGACAAUGGGCGCAAGCCUGAUCCAGCAAUGCCGCGUGAGUGAUGAAGGCCUUCGGGUCGUAAAGCUCUUUUACCAGGGAUGAUAAUGACAGUACCUGGAGAAUAAGCUCCGGCUAACUCCGUGCCAGCAGCCGCAGUAAUAC